rnacentral:lncRNA from 1 species
AUGGAGGUUCCCAGGCUAGGGGUUGAAUCGGAGCUGUAGCCACCAGCCUACGCCAGAGCCACAGCAACGCGGGAUCCGAGCCGCGUCUGCAACCUACACCACAGCUCACGGCAACACUGGAUCAUUAACCCACUGAGCAAGGGCAGGGACUGAACCCGCAACCUCAUGGUUCCUAGUCGGAUUCGUUAACCACUGCGCCACGACGGGAACUCCCUACCCCGCCUUUUCUGCUGUUUCUUUGAGUUUGACUUAUUUUUCUGCUUGGUUUCUUGGCAUCUCGUCCCACCAGGUGUUGUUUAGGAGCUAGUCAAGGAUUUGGGGGCUCUUUUUUUGAUUUUCCCGUUCAAUUUCAGCCAUUCUGGUAGCCCUGAACUCCGACCUCGCCUUCCUUCUGUGGUAGGAUUGCUUAAGCAAGAUUGUGCUCUGAGAACUGGGAAGUGGCCUCUGGUCAGCCACUCAACGUGUAGAGCUCGUGGAGUGUCUCUCAGCGAUUGUGUCCCUCCAGUUUCUGCAUGCUUUCAGUUGGCCUCCGGUACCAUCAAAUAGCUGGUUUUGUAUUUUGUCCAGAAUUUAUAAUUAGCAUCAGCAGGGGGAUUAGUCAGAUGCAGCUACUCCAUCCUUUCUGGAACCAGAACUCUCAGACCUGUGCAUUUAUUCUUUUUUUUUUUUUUUUGCUUUUUAGGGCAUAUGGAAGUUCCCAGGCUAGGGGUCAAAUUGGAGCUGUAGCCACUGGCCUACGCCAGAGCCACAGCAACGUGGGAUCCAAGCCGAAUCUGCAGCCUACACCACAGCUUGGGGCAACGCCGGAUCGUUAACCCACCGAGCAAGGGCAGGGACUGAACCCGCAACCUCAUGGUUCCUAGUCGGAUUCGUUAACCACUGCGCCACGACGGGAACUCCCUUUUUUUUUUUUUUAAAAAAAAAGACCUCACUUUUUGAUGAGGAGCUGUAGGGAGUUUGUGCCUAUCUCGAAUUUGUCCCAGUGUCUUAGGAGAGGGAAACUAGCCCUGGGAGAGAGAAAGGAGGGCUGCUGGGUCUGUGUUUAAUGUGUGCUUGGGGUUUGUGGUCAUUAAUUAAAGCGAGUAAAACUUAGAGUUCUCUUGCGGCUUAGCAGAUUAAGGAUCCAGUCUUGUCCCUGCAGUGGCUUGGGUCGCUGUUGUGGCCUGGGUUUAAUCCCUGGCCUAGGAACUUCCACAUACUGUGAGUGCGGCCAAAAAAAAAAAAAGAAAAAAAAAAAAAGAAAAAAAAAAAUAAAGCAAGUAAGGGGUUCCCUUUGUGGCUCAGUGGUUAAUGAACCUGCCAGCUCUGAUUAGACUCCUAGCCUGGGAACCUCCAUAUGCUGUGGGUGAGGCCCUAAAAAGCAAAAAAAAAAAACAAAAAAAAAAA